rnacentral:misc_RNA from 1 species
AAUUCGUAUGUAUAUAGUACAAUUAGCCAUGGAAGAAGGUAAAGAGAGGAAAUGAUAGAAUAGAAUUCAUGAUUUUACAUAGUAAUCUGAAGUUGAAAUUAAAGGGACAUUGCAGAAUCUUCAUCCUCAUCAAGGCUAGAAGUGUAAACAGUAUAAAGAGACCAAACCAAACCAAAGACUCCAAAAAGGAUCCAACCAAGAAGAUUAUUACUGAGCCCAAAUGGAAGCCCAGUUCCUUCUGUACUCAUUCUUUCAUCCACUAAAGCCAUUGCUGUUGGGCUGAAUGAUAGUGUUGCUGCCACUAAUGAUCCACAAAUUCCUGAUUUUGAAUCCUCUCUUUCCAUUGAACACUUCACCCUUCCCACAUUCUUCCUCAUUGAUGGCAACCCAAGAACAGAAGGGCGGGAUAGAGCUGAUGCCUUAUGUAGGAGGGCCUCACGGGCGGCUAAAGAGGUGGUGGUACAAGCAGUGAUGCUGGAAGCCAUUGGUGUUCGUUUUUUCAGUCAG